rnacentral:rRNA from 1 species
CUCCUUUGACGUUAGCGGCGGACGGGUGAGUAACACGUGGGUAACCUACCUAUAAGACUGGGAUAACUUCGGGAAACCGGAGCUAAUACCGGAUAAUAUUUCGAACCGCAUGGUUCGAUAGUGAAAGGUGGUUUUGCUAUCACUUAUAGAUGGACCCGCGCCGUAUUAGCUAGUUGGUAAGGUAACGGCUUACCAAGGCGACGAUACGUAGUCGACCUGAGAGGGUGAUCGGCCACACUGGAACUGAGACACGGUCCAGACUCCUACGGGAGGCAGCAGGG